UACGCUUUGUUCUCCAGUCAUCAUUCAUAUUAGAUCCUCCAUCUAUGUAAUAUCAUCCUACUCGUACUACGGCAAAUUACCUUAAGUCGUCCUUCGGAUAUGCUUUUAUAUAUAGUAUAGAUAAUAGUACAACCUUACAUGAAUACAUACAUAUACUCGCCCAAGGGGUAUGAUCCUCAGGGACGAAUUAUGUAAUUUACUCUUUAUAAUAAAAGGGGCGAUGAUGAUGAUGAAUUUCUAGUUGUCUGAGUAAAAUCGGUGCAGCCUUGAGAUAUUCCGAAUCUUGGCGGGGCAAUUUCAUUAUUGCAGCCAUGGAGGUUUUAUCCUAUUUGCACUGGUUGAUUGUUUCUACAGAUCUGAGCCUCGUUCUUUUUUUUAACAAAAUUGUUUUUAAUUAUUCACGG
rnacentral:lncRNA from 1 species